AAAGAGUUAUCUUAAAAAAUGUAAGCAAUAUAGAUAUAAAUAUAGUUUAAUUAUAUAAUCUUAAGUAUUAAAAAUGUAUAGUUUUUAAUUGGAAUAUUUUCAAUAAGAUAAACAAGUUAAACAAUAAUAGGAUUAAAAGAUUACCAUUGCCUGCAGAUAAGUGUGAAUGAAUCAAGUUUUUAUAGGAUUUUCAGACAAAUUUUUUGUGUGUUUGGAUUUUUAAGAAUAUAUUUUCACAAAUUUUUUAUUUUAUAUUUUUUAAUAGUCAAAAGAAGAAGAGCUCCAAGGUACCUUCUUCCCAUUGAUACCAAUUCUAGUUCUGAAGGGGAAUCAGACCCAUUGCCCACAGUUUUUAUGGAUGAAGAUAGGACUCAAGACACAGAUAAUAGCACUCCAAAUAAUAAUGCAAUGGAUGAGCAAGGAGAAGAAGAUAUCGAUAACAUUGAAGGACAUGUAGAGCCUACAGAGUCAGAAGAACAUUUGGAACAAGAUGAAGAACAUUUGGAACAAGAGGACGAGGAGGGCCAUGAAGAAGAUGAG